rnacentral:rRNA from 1 species
CGCAAUGGGCGAAAGUCUGACGGAGCGACGCCGCGUGGAGGAUGAAGUUCUUAGGAAUGUAAAAUUCUUUUUCCAGGGAAAAAGUUUAUUGACGUUCCCUCAGAAAUAAGAGGUUGCAAAAUUCGUCCCACCAGCACCGGUAAUACAAGGGCCCCAACCUUUUUCCGGAUCCUUUGGGGUUAAGGGAGGGUCGGGGGGUAUUUUUAUUUUUUUUUAAAUCCUUCGGCUUAACCGAGGGUAUGCCAGGGAAACGGCCUUGCUUAGAGGACGGAAGGGGUCACUGGAACUCAUGGGUAGCGGUGAAAUCUCUGAUAUCAUGGGGAACACCAAAAGCGAAGGCAAUAGACUGUCCAUUCCUGACGCUGAACCCGAAAGCGU